GGAAGUGAAGUGAAGUGAGAGCUGUAGCGCCCACCCCUAAUUUUAUUGCGUCCCUAACAGAUGGUGACCCCGCGUCAUGAUUUGUCCGAUCGAAGAGGUUAAUUUUGGUCAACUAUUUGGCCUGGAUUCACAAACAGAGCACUCACAAACUAAGAUGGAACCAUGCUGCCGGCCAAAGGAGACCUGCGUACACAUGUGCUGGCAUGUGUCCAACAAAAAACUGACUCCUGUUGCUGACAUCUAUUGGGGACUGCUUGACACGUGUCAAAUAAAUAACAGCGUGCUGCAGGCAUUUGCGGAUUGGAAGCCGUGGAUUGUGUCCUUGGGGACAUUCCUGCCAUCCCCUGACCCUCCACAUUGUACCUUGUUCUAUGAUAGAGAACACGAUUUGAUUUAUCAACAAGAAUUUUUUGAAAAACUAUCAGACACUCGUUGUAUUUUACCAACUGAUAGAAUAGUGGUGGGACAAGAGGGUGUUCACAAGUGUGGGACAAGAGGGUUCACCUGACAUCGGAUUUAUUGCCUUGGUUCAAAAUUCAAUUUUCUGCGCCUCACAUUGCUUUGGUACUUCCUAACUAUAAACUACCGUUUCAUUUGGACGUCUCUAAUAAAACUCAUACUGCCGCUGCAGUAUUGUACCAACUAGUACGGGGCGAAAGAAAGGUACUACUACACACAAAUGUUUUGUUAGAACCAACAGUAGCACGUGCAUCUGACUGCGAGAGGUAUGCAGCAGCAGCUGCAGGUCUUAUCGACAAAUGCGUACGUGGUGCUUAUGCACCCGCUCUGCGUACACACCACACACUCCACAACCGCUUUCAUCAAAUCUAUUUACCAUUUUAAACAAGCGAAAAAAGAAAAUAUUAUCAGUGUUACAACAACCGCAUAUUCAGUUUACACCUGUCAAUACUAACAUGGCCGACUGUGUAACUGAAGUAAUGCAUUGUUGUGUGGCGAAGGCUAGAAAAGACAAAACAUGUCGUUCAGAUUUAUUGUCGGAACCAUUGAAGGAAGGGAGAGAGUUGUUCACGGAUGGUUGUUGUUAUAGGAAAAACAAUGGGGUACUCGUGGCUGGAUGUGCUGUAAUUGAACUAGUAGGGAACAAUUGGAUACUGGUGAUCAGUAACACAUUGGUUGGUAAGCAAUCAGCUCAAAGGGCAGAACUAUUGGCUGUAAGUAGAGCCCUGAAAGAAGCGGAUGGACAGGAAGUGACUAUCUAUUCAGAUUCAGCCUCUGUGGUGGGAUCACUGCAUCUGAAUUUGAAGGGAUGGAUUUCAUCUGCAUGGACAACCUCCACUGGCAAACCAGUUUGUCAUGCUGAUGAAUGGAAGGAAUUGUACGACAAUUUGAUGUUACCAACAAACGUAGCAGUGGUGAAAUAUUCAGGACAUUCUAAGGCAGAUACUGUCGAAGCUGAGAUAAUAAGAUUGCAGAUCAAGAAGCCAAGAAAGUGGCAGGAUACAACAAAAUUAUGAUCCAAAUAAAAAACUUGGGUUCUGAUUUAUUGGACGUGACAGCAAUUGCUAAGGCUCAUUCAGAUAUCCCAGCAGAAGAAAUUGAACAAUGGAAAUGUGACGGCGCACUAAAAGGCUCGUUAGGAGUGUGGCACAAAAAUGGUUUGCCGGUUUUGUCUCAAAAUCUGUGUCACAUAUUGGACACUUAUCACACUUUGGCUUAUGUCAGUAGACUUCAAACUUGGCUGAAUGUGAAAAAACACUGGUACAUGCCCGCUGGAAAAGCCACUAUUGAUGAGUUCGUGAGGGAUUGCCCAUUGUGUGAAACAUUUAAUCCGGCCAAAGCAGAAUCUGCAUCUGCAGGUUCUUAUCCUCCUCCAGAAAAGCCCGGUGAACAUGUCGUAAUUGAUUUCACUGACAUGACUGAAUCCUGUGAAGGAAAACGAUACCUCCUUGUGAUAGUUGAUGCCUAUUCAGAAUGGGUUGGAAGCCCUGCCCACACGAAAAGAAGAUUCGACCUCAGUUGUAAAAAUGCUGAUUAAUGUGUGGGUUCCACAACAUGGUUUCCCCAGACGAAUCAGAUUAGAUAAUGGAUCUAAUUUUACGAGUACAAAACUGGCUUAUGUGGAAAAAUGUCUAGGACUCACUCACCGAUUUGGAUCUGUGUACCACCCACAAUCACAAGGAGUCGUUGAACGUAUGAAUGCAACUUUAAAACAAAAAUUUGCUAAAUGCUGUGCACAGUCAAAUAUGCCAUGGUUGUGCCAAUUGUGCUCAUGUCCAUCAGAGCGUCUGUAAGUAGUACACACAAACUCAACCCUUUCAAAAUAUACCAUGGCUUUUCUUUUCCUGGUCCAGUUUCUGGCUCAUCUUUUGAGUCACCUUCUUCCUUGUCGCAACUGUCUUACUUUGAUCAAUUAAGAGGUGUUCUGUCGAGCAUUGCAGGCAUCCAGUCGGACGGCGAUAAUCCACCUACAUCUGUUUGGCUUCGAGUGAUAAAGAGGAAGUGGUCUGAACCAAGGUGGACGGGACAGUUCCCAGUGACUGCGAGGACUUCACACGCCUACCAACUUGAAGGAAAAGGGACUACCUGGUUCCACAGGUCACAAGGUCGUGUUGCCAAACCACUGUGAUUGUUUCAUUAGUGUUGCAUUUAUUGCCUCAAGUUGCAUUCGGCAAACAGGGGAAUUUAGUAGACUACCAAUUCAUGUAUCAGGAGAAAGGGUACCAAGCAAAUGUGGAAUACCCUUCCAAAUUACAAUUAAUCACAAGAAAGGAAAAAACAAUGCUUAUGUUUUCGACUUAUGCGAAGUGAUUAACUGUGGAGGCUAUAACAGCUCGUAUAGAGGAACAGACAUCUACUUAUGUUUCGACCAGACGGUACAGACCCGAUGCACGCAGAAUUUGCCAUAUAGUCAUACAUGGUGUCAGACAUGGAGACAAACCACCCAUUUUACCGCGAGGUGGACCCCACAAAAAUUGGUGGACAAAGGCAUUAAGGGCCAGAAAAACCAUAAUGCAAUAAUGGAUAGAAUAAAAUUCCAAAUAAAUUAUGAUUCAACACAAAACCCUAUUAUGCUAAAAUCAAAUUGCAGCAGGAUUUGAAAAUAUGCCAUCAUCUCUGCCUUCUUCCCAUUAACUCCAAACAAGAAUGUGGAUAGGAUCAACUUUGUUUAUUACCAUUUGCAAAGAGCAGUAAACUUUACCAGUGAUGCCAUUGAAUGCUAAGUUGAACAAUUGGCCCCCACUUCCCUAAUGGCAAUUCAAAAUCGCAUGGCCCUUGACAUCAUCCUUGCCGAAAAUAAAGGUGUUUAUGCAAUGUUUGCUCCACAAUGUUGUCUUUUUAUUCCCAACAACACAGCCCCGGAUGGAAAAGUAACGAGAGCCCUACAUGCGUUAAAACUUUGGCUGCUGAAAUGGCAAAUUCAACAGGUGGUUCCAACCCCUAGAAAAUUGAGCUACGGCAUGGUCUGGAAAAUGCAAACACCUUGUACAUUCAUAAUUGCUAUUGUUACUGCUGUUACUUUGUUAUUGCUUUUCGGAUACUGUAUUAUUCCAUGUACGAGGACACUGCGUGUCAAGAUGGUCUCGGGAGUGGUGGAAAAGAAUAUGAACCAGCCGGAAUUACAGAUGUUGAUGACCUCCGAAGAAGCUCCUACUCCUCAAGUUCUGCUCACACAAAACGACGUCAUGUCCAGAUGGAUGAAUUAUUGAUUACAAAUAUACAGUGUCUUUUCUCUUA